UUUCCGUAGGUGAACCUGCGGAGGGAUCAUCACAGAGUUCAUGCCUUACCGGGUAGAUCUCCCACCCUAUGUUAUUAUUACUUUGUUGCUUUGGCGGGCCGUUAGGCUCCGGCCCGACUACCGGCCCCGGCUGGUAAGCGCCCGCCAGAGGACCCAAAACCCUGAAUAUUAGUGUCGUCUGAGUACUAUAUAAUAGUUAAAACUUUCAACAACGGAUCUCUUGGUUCUG
rnacentral:misc_RNA from 1 species